rfam:Oryza meridionalis cultivar OR44 (W2112) chromosome 2, whole genome shotgun sequence.
UUUAAAUAUAGUUGUGGGUUUCUAUGUCCAACGUUUGAUCGUCCGUUUUAUUUAUUUUUUUAUAAUUAGUACUUUUAUCGACUAGAUGAUAAAAUAUAAAUAGUGACUUACUUAUUUUAAUUUUUUCUUAAAUUUUUUAAAUAAAACGGAUGGUUAAACGUUUGUCAUAAAAAACUUAUAACUACACUUAAA